CAGGGAGUACGGUAGCUGUGAUGCCACAAGACAGAUGAUUUGAAGGAAGACUCACACUUCAGUUAUACUUGGCUGAGGAAUUCAGUAAGAUGAAAUUGAUCUCAGCUCUGCAUCUAUGCUAACACGAUACCCAGACAAAACUGCUGAGAAGAACCUUGACUGAGACAGCGUUUCAGCCUUUUUCAGGCAGCUGCAAAACGAGGAGAAGAAGCAAGAAAGGACUGAAAGCUGAGAAGUUAAAAAACAGGAUGUAAUGAUGGCUCACAAAACCAACUGCACAUUCGGAUGGCAAGUGAGGGUGAGAGACAGAGGAUUUACUCCAUCCCUAAAAAAAC
rnacentral:lncRNA from 1 species